AAACUUUCAACAACGGAUCUCUUGGCUCUGGCAUCGAUGAAGAACGCAGCGAAAUGCGAUAAGUAAUGUGAAUUGCAGAAUUCAGUGAAUCAUCGAAUCUUUGAACGCACAUUGCGCCCGCCAGUAUUCUGGCGGGCAUGCCUGUUCGAGCGUCAUUACAACCCUCAGGCCCCCCG
rnacentral:rRNA from 1 species